GGGCACAUGGUGUAGAUGGUUAUCACGCUCGCUUUGCAUGCGAGUGGUCUCCGGUUCGAUUCCGGAUGUGUCCA